rnacentral:lncRNA from 1 species
CAGUGGCACACGCCUGUAGUCCCAGCUGCCCAGGAAACUGGGGUGGGAGGAUCUCCUGAGCCCGGGAGGCUCAGGAGGCUGCAGUGAGCCAUGAUUGAGUCACUGCAUUCCAGCCUGGGAGACAGAGCAAGACCCCGUCUAGAAAAAUAACUGAGACAUCCACCUUCUCCUGCCAUUGGACAUCUCGGGCCUUCUGACUUGGACCAGGACAGAUGCUGUUGGCUCCCUUGGUCCUCAGGCUUUCAGAUUCGUACUGGAACCGCAUCACCAGCUUUCUCGGGCCUCCAGCUUGCAGAUGGCAGAUAGUGGGACUUCUCCGCCUCCAUAAUCCUAUGAAUCAAUCCCUGUAAUAAAUCUCUUCCUGUUCAUAACUAUCUAUCUAUUUAUCUGUCUAUCUAUCUAUCUAUCUACCUACCUACCUACCUAUUAUCUGUCUACCUAUCGCUGAUUUUUUUUUUUGAGAUGGAGUCUCACUCUAUUGCUCAGGCUGGAGUGCAGUGGUGUGAUCUUGCCUCACUGCAACCUCUGCCUUCUGGGUUCAAGCGAUUCUCCUGCCUCAGCCUCCCAAGUAGCUGGGACUACAGGCAUGUGCCACCACGCCCAGCUAAUUUUUGUAUUUUUAGUAGACAUGAGGUUUCACCAUGUUGCCCAGGCUGUUUUCGAAUUCCUGACCUCAGGUGAUCCGCCCAUCUCAGCCUCCCAAAGUGGUGGGAUUACGGGCAUUACCUAUCAUCUAUUUAUCUCUUUAUUAUCUAUCUAUCUAUCUAUCUAUCUAUCUAUCUAUCAUCUGGUAUCUAUCACCUAUCUCAUCUAUGAUCUAUCAAUCUAUUAUCUAUCAUCUAUCUAUUAAUCUAUUAUCUAUCAAUCUAUCACCUAUCAAUCUAUUUCUAUUAUUUAUCUAUUAUAAAUCAAUCUAUUGCUCUAUCUGCCUAUCAUCUAUUUAUCAUCUAUCUACCUAUCAUCUAUUUAUGUACCUAUCUACCUAUCAUCUAUUUAUCAUCUAUUAUCUAUCACUUAUCUAUCAUCUAUCAAUCUACACUUGAUUUUAGCCAAAAGGCCAAGAGGCGAUCUAUCUAUCAUCUAUCAAUCUAUUAUCUAUCAUCUAUUAAUAUAAUUAUCUAUCUAUCUAUCUAUCUAUCUAUCUAUCUAUCUAUCUAUCCUACUGGUUCUAUUUCCCUGGAGAACCCUGACUAACACAGGCGGUAAGUAAGUUGUAGUGGUAACUGGGUUUGAGUCUGCCUCCUCCACUCCUCAACCACUUGAAUCUCUCUAUGCCCUGCCUUAGCCACCUAUGAAAUGGGAAUAAUUACAGCAAGGCCAACUCUUCUUCUUUUUUGGAGACGGAGUCUCACUCUUUCACCCAGCCUGGAGUGCAGUGGUGCGAUUUCAGCUCACUGCAACCUCCGCCUCCUGGGUUCAAGUAAUUCUCCUGCCUCAGCCUCCGGAGUAGCCGGCUAAUUUUUUUGUAUUUUUAGUAGAGACGGGGUUUCACCUUGUUGCCCAGGCUGAUUUCAAACUCCUGAGCUCAGGCUAACCGCCUGUCUUGGCCAAGUCUUCUUAAUGUCUGUUCAGCAUCUCUUCUCCCUGUCUUCCUUUUGUCACUGGAACCCCCCCAUAGGAUGCCCUAACACACAGAUUUUGGUAUGAGUGUGUUCGGCCCCAUCUAACUGAGGAUGCAUCGGAGAGGUCAGAUGUGCACAUUCACUGUGAAGGGACAGCCUUGAACGUGGACCCACACAGGGGUGAUUACUGGUGAUGAAAACUCCCUUGAGUUUUACUGAGUUGCAUUGCCAGAAGUGACAUGAUUGUCUAAAGUAGUGAAC